GUCCCUCCGUGGACAUCUCCUGCUCAUCAGUAAAAGUUACCAGUAUCCAGUUCACUAGCAAGGACCACACCAUCAACGGGGUAUGUUUAAAUGAUUUAUUGAUGAAACAAGAUUAUGUGGGAGGCUUGGCUCGCUGUUUGCUUGGUUGGCUACUAUGUGUGGGGGAAGCUUCAGUGGGGAAUCCACCGUAACACCUGGGCACGACAGACCCCCAAAAGCCUCCACUUAUUUUAGACAAGAUUGAGCAGAUCUGAGAUCUCUGAGAUCUGAACGAAUGUAGCAGUGAUACGCUUGGGAGGACCAAUGGCCCACGAUUUGUGUUAAGUGCUCAGGAAUGCCAUUGUGGGAGGCCGAGGUAGCAGCUCCUAUCCUGAAGGAGUGACCAGAGUAAUGAAUGGGAGAAAUGCCAGACAAGGAGAGUAUGUGGCGGAAGUGCUGGUGGAACCAGAAUUGAGUAGCCGCUUGUCCAGACUUGGAGACGAAGAGAGGUUCUGACGUGGUUAUCCUCUAGGAUUUCCAGAAUUGCAAGUAGUUUGUCUUGCAAGUUUGCAAGUGUCUUGAAAGGUUCAGCAGCGAUUGGACCUCGAAGUAGAAGAUGGGGUAAGAUGGCCGGAUUGAUUGGUUUUGGUUCAUUUUAGGUAGAAUACUAUGGUGUUGUCUGAGAAUUGUGACAAGUCUGAAAGGCAGGCGUGAUGGCAUGGAUCGAAGUGAAGGGUAGAGGAGGUGAAUUUGGAGCAUCUGAGGAAACCAGAGCAUGGUUCGAGCAACAUGAGGGACGCUAUAUUUGGUGUGGAUGGACUGACAGCAAGUUGGCUGUAAGAGGAAGGCGGUGAGGAUUUUGAGCUGGCUCUUGACAUUGAAGUCUUCUGAGAAGUAAGGUUAUCUGAGAAUGGUGACCGGGGCUGCCAAUUAGAAGUUAGGUGAGCAUGGCAACGUGUGAGGAGUGACUGUUGAAAACCACAAUGCUAAAGAGAUUAGGGUAUAGCAUCAGUUAUAUCAGCAGUGGAGAGUAUUUCUUCUUUGAAGGAAGAGCAACGGCACUGAAGCUUUUCUUGAUGUUUUUGCUCCCGGCUGGCUCCGGUAAGAGUUUGUCUACGUUAUGGUUCGUUGAUUUGAUUAGUUGGAGUUUUUCCCGUGAUAGAUGGUGAUGAUUCCAAUGAUGAUUUCCCAGAUAGUUCUGGCAUCCGGUGCCAGGAGCCCUACCUCGAGGGAGCUGCUGCGGUCGCUGGGAGUGGGCAGCAGGGGAUGCUGGCAUCCCAGUGUCAUCACCUGCCAAGGCUGGCUGAUGUGAUUGCUGGAGCUGAAUAACAGGAAGCGCUGACAACCCAGUGUAAAUUGCCCUGGAUGAUGUAAGCUGCUGUUGCUGGUGUAGAAAAACCUGCUGAGAGGUUUAGUGUCCCGGAGUUAUUGUGCUCCAUCUGAACCUGAUUGUGUAUGAUGAGAGGUAGUUGCUGAUGACUCCCGUUUUUCAUUGCUGCUGGCCUUUCUGCUGUCUUGAGCUGAAGGAUAUGGUGAACUGUCCCUUUAACUUGGGCUCUGCUGUCACAGUGUGUUGUUAGGGUGUGCGCGAUGACGUCACCCGAAAGAGCGCUGUGUUGAACUGAACUGUGGGCAUGACAGGCUGACAUGAGAGCGUUGGAAAGUUUUGCUUUGUUGUCCGUUCUGUGAAAUACAAUUACUUUAUCUUUUAGCGUUUUUGUAGCGCGGCAACAGUCCAGUCGGAAGUAGUGUUUGAGACGAUGGCGGGGACUGGAGUUGUCCCGUUGGGCGAUGAAGUCGGAGCACUGCAGCGGCGAUGGACUGUCCUUGAAUUGCCUCUUCCUCUCUUUUCUGCUGAGGGAGGUGGGCAAGGAAGAGACUGUGUAGGGGCUUGCUGGACUCACUUGCUUCGUGGACAGCUUUUGGAUUACGGAAAGCAGGGUCUCAGGCGCUGAAGUUUUUGGCUUCUAUUGUUGGGUCUGCUGGCGAGGUUGAUGGAAACUUUGAACGUGGUUAUCCUGAUUUUGUCCGAAUAAUUCAUCGUCCGAUGGGGAUAGUGAGACGAAGUCCAUGUUCGAGCACUGUCUGAGUGUGCUCGGGGCGAUGUUGCGUGGUGUCGGUUCAGGUGCAGAAAACGAGCGCGUAGAGGAGGAGAUGGGUUAGAAACAUGUUUGACAUUUACACUUAAACAGUCCCACAAGAAAAUGUGAAUCAAGGACCUUCAGGAAACCUUCAGUCAGUGACCAGCAGUGGAUCUUCUUACCAGAUAUGGAGACUGUUGUUGUUGAUCAUCUGACACCAGAGCGGCUGCAUCAGUUGAAGUGAAGGCUGUGAUGAGCAGGAAAGCCUGCAGACACAACAGGACCGGCAACAUAGUUCUGUCCAUGACUGAUGAGCGGAAGCCCACACAAAGCCCACAUUUAUAUGCUCACUGCUAACCAAUGUGGACAGAGAGGAAGCAAAAACAGGGUGUUGGCCAUGCUGCAUUACUAGCAUGAUCAACAAAAUGCUAGUCAUGUGCAAGACACUUGUUGAUGAUGAAGUGUUGAUAAUAGGUGUUAAGUUAAAAUCUUAACAAAAAUAUAGGAUUGGGGUUUAAUAACAGCAGGAUUAUUUUGUCUUUAUUACAACUGUAUGUUUGAUUACAGGCAGAAAUAUGUGGAAUGUUUAAAGGAUACAGCAAAGAAAUAUAACUUUAGGUGAGAGUGAAAAACUGAAUAGUUCAACAUUAUGGAAAACACACUUAUUUGCUUUCGUGCUGACAGUUAGGUGAGAAGAUUGAUACCACUCUAGUAUUUGUAGGGACAUUUGAAGCUAGAGUCAAGAGAAGCCUAGAUUAGUUUAACAUAAAGACUCAAAACAAGGGGAAACAGCUGGCUCUGUCCAAAGUUAAACAAAACAAACAAAAAAAAACAACAACCUGCGUACCAGAACCUCUAAAGCUCAAUAAUUGCAUUUCUGUUUCUGAAAGUUUUAAACAAAUUAGAUAAUGUGCUCAUUAGUGAGCUUUAGGGGUGCUGAUAGUUCGAUUCUUUGGAGAGAGCCAGGCUAGCUGUUUCCCCCCUGCUCCCAGAAAACCAGUCAGUAUCUGGUGUGACCACCAUUUGCCUCAUGCAGUGCGACACAUCUCCUUGUCAUAGAGUUGAUCAGGUUGUUGAUUGUGGCCUGUGGGAUGUUGGCCCACUCCUCUUGGCUGUGCGAAAGUAGCUGGAUAUUGGCAGAAAUUGUAACACGCUGUCGUACACGGCGAUCCAGAGCAUCCCAAAUGAGUAAGCAGGCCAUGCAAGAACUGGGAUGUUUUCAGCUUCCAGGAAUUGACUGCAGUCAGGUCAAGACCUUGGUGAGGACGAGAAGCACUCAGAUGAGCUUUCCUGAGAUGGUUUCUGACAGUUUGUGCAGAAAUUCUUUGGUUGUGCAAACCAACUGUUGCAUCAGCUGUCCGGGUGGCUGGUCUCAGACAAUCUUCCUGGUGAAGAAGCCGGAUGUGGAGGUCCUGGGCUAGCGUGGUAACACGUGGUCUGCAGUUGUGAGGCCGGUUGGAUGUACUGUCAAAUUGCGGGAAUGUCAAAUCGCGGGAAUGACGUUGGAGAUGGCUUAUGAUACUGAAAUGAACAUUCAUUCAUUCACGGGAAACAUCUCUGCUGGACAUUCAUGUAGUCAGCAUGCCAACUGCACGCUCCCUCAAAACUUGUGACAUCUAUGGCUUUGUGUUGUGUGAUAAAACUGCACAUUUUAGAGUGGCCUUUUAUCGUGACCAACUAAAGGCACCAAUGGUAAUCAUGCUGUUUAAUCAGCAUCAUGAUAUGCCACACCUGUCAAGUGGAUGGAUUAUCUUGGCAAAGGAGAAGUGCUCACUAACAAGGAUUAUUGUCGUGGGUCUGCCAUGGUGAAACUACAAUGUUCCGAAGAUGGACUACAGCCAGGCUCCAAACAAACAAACAAGGGCAUGUUCAUUCCUGAGCUUUAGAGGUGCUGGUAGGCAGAUUUUAUUACCUUUGGACAGAGCCAGGCUAGCUGUUUCCCCCUGGCUCCAGCUUCAUAUUUAACACACAGAUAUGAGAGUGGUAUUACUCUUCUGCAUUGUUAAUGCAUAAAACAAAAAAAUAGACGUACACAAAAUGUUAAUAACUUCUCAAAGCUUAGUUUCUUGUGAAUAACAAAUUUUUGAUGUCCGAUAGAAUCUAAGGUCAUGAAAUGUUAAAAUCAUUGUCAAUUGGAUCUAUGUUAGAUCAGUGGUAGCUGCUGAAAUAGAGCAGUGAACCCCAUGUUAUGAGCGGUAAUGUUGUUGCACUGCCGACCGCUUCUAUAGAACAAUAAUGAGGAAGCAUCACAGAAAUUAAGCAACAUAAAGAAGUAAAUUCAAGAUUUAUCAAAGAGCCAUCUCUUUCUCCCUCCCUCACACACACACACACACACACACACACACACACACACACACACACACACACACACACACACACACAGACUAUGUUUUGAAAUGAUAUAACGAAACACAGGUACCUACUAUGGGAAGCAUUUACUACCACUCACCGAAAACUGACCAACUCAAUGUUGCAAUAUAUGCAAAAACUCCACCCAUUAGUAGAAAAAAUUAUUAAGAUUCAUUGCAAAAUUGUUUUGACACAUGGUUUUACUGAUCAUUUACUUGCCAGUUAGAGUACCCUUGGUGGCACAAAGCUCAGGAUUGUAACAACUGUAUCCUAUAUCUUGUCAGGUUUAGGAUAAAGGAAUUGUUUUGGUCAAAGGAAUAGUUUAACAUUGUGAAAAAUACACUUAUUCAUUUUCUUGCUGAGAGUUAAAUGAGAAGAUUUAAACCACUCUUGUGUCUGUUGGGUAAAUAUGAAGCUCCAGACAUGACCAGCUUUCUUAAUAACGAAAAGCUCAACAUUUGUUUGUUCAGAGAAUCUGUGUUUGCUCAGUAAAAAGAGCAAUGGGCUGACAACAUAUGGACUAAGCCAAAACUGCGUGGGAUGAUAAAAUAUGAAUAUAGUACUGAGAAUUAUGUUGUAUAUAAUUUAUCUAAAAAGCAUGUGCAUCUUAUGUGCCCAGCUGAGAUCUUGUAUUUUACCACCAUAUGAGUCUGGAAGAAAAGCGGAUUUGUUCAGUGUGCUGUUUGACUGAUAUAGAAAAUGAGUUCCAUUUUGUUUUCUAUUAUCCUUUGUACUGGGAACCGCACAAUACUUUUAGUAAGAUAAAAACAGAUAGUGAUUUUGUAAAUAUGGAUGAUGCACAAAGUUUGAGUUGGCUGUUCACAUAUGAAACAUUUAGAUUAGCUACUUCCUUGGAGAAAGCCUGGGAAAUGAGGAAAAAAAGCUCUUUAUCAGGAUAAAAUGUAGGUAUGUAACAGUUCUUUUCAGUGUACAGUUCAUCUGAAAUUUGUUAUUUUGAAUAUGUUAUUUAAUAGAAUAAUAGAAGUACUUGUGAAUAAUGUGAUGAUUUUUUUUUAUAUUUGUAUUACAGGAAGAUGUAUGUUUUGUAAAACUGCGAUGUCUUGUAAUCCCAUAUGGGAUGGACCAGAUGUUUGGCAUGACAGAAAUAGAAAAUAAACUAAAUUUAACCAGCAACA